GAGUUUGAUCAUGGCUCAGAUUGAACGCUGGCGGCAUGCUUUACACAUGCAAGUCGAACGGCAGCGGGGAAGUGCUUGCACUUCUGCCGGCGAGUGGCGAACGGGUGAGUAAUGCAUUGGAACGUACCGGGUAAUGGGGGAUAACUUGCCGAAAGGUAAGCUAAUACCGCAUACGCUCUUAGGAGGAAAGCGGGGGAUCGUUUGACCUCGCGUUAUCCGAGCGGCCAAUGUCUGAUUAGCUAGUUGGUGGGGUAAAAGCCUACCAAGGCAACGAUCAGUAGCGGGUCUGAGAGGAUGAUCCGCCACACUGGGACUGAGACACGGCCCAGACUCCUACGGGAGGCAGCAGUGGGGAAUUUUGGACAAUGGGCGCAAGCCUGAUCCAGCCAUGCCGCGUGUCUGAAGAAGGCCUUCGGGUUGUAAAGGACUUUUGUACGGGAAGAAAAAGUUGUGGCUAAUACCCAUGACUGA
rnacentral:rRNA from 1 species